rnacentral:rRNA from 1 species
GUGCCAGCAGCCGCGGUAAUACGGAGGAUCCGAGCGUUAUCCGGAUUUAUUGGGUUUAAAGGGUGCGUAGGCGGAAUGGUAAGUCAGAGGUGAAAUCCUGCAGCUCAACUGUAGAAUUGCCUUUGAAACUGUCAUUCUUGAGUACAUUUGAGGUAGGCGGAAUGUGGUGUGUAGCGGUGAAAUGCAUAGAUAUACCACAGAACACCGAUUGCGAAGGCAGCUUACUAAACUGUAACUGACGCUGAGGCACGAAAGCGUGGGUAUCAAACAGGAUUAGAUACCCUGGUAGUCCACGCUGUAAACGAUGAUUACUGGUUGUUUGCGAUACACAGCAAGUGACUGAGGGAAACCAUUAAGUAAUCCACCUGGGGAGUACGUCGGCAACGAUGAAACUCAAAGGAAUUGACGGGGGCCCGCACAAGCGGAGGAACAUGUGGUUUAAUUCGAUGAUACGCGAGGAACCUUACCUGGGUUUAAAUGGGGAGUGACAGGCUUGGAAACAGGCCCUUCUUCGGACACUCUUCAAGGUGCUGCAUGGUUGUCGUCAGCUCGUGCCGUGAGGUGUCGGGUUAAGUCCCAUAACGAGCGCAACCCCUAUCGAUAGUUACCAGCACGUUAAGGUGGGGACUCUAUCGAGACUGCCGGUGUAAACCGUGAGGAAGGUGGGGAUGACGUCAAAUCAGCACGGCCCUUACAUCCAGGGCUACACACGUGUUACAAUGGCCGGUACAAAGGGUAGCUACUCCGCGAGGAGAUGCGAAUCUUAAAAGCCGGUCUCAGUUCGGAUCGAAGUCUGCAACCCGACUUCGUGAAGCUGGAUUCGCUAGUAAUCGUAUAUCAGCCAUGAUACGGUGAAUACGUUCCCGGGCCUUGUACACACCGCCCGUCACACC